rnacentral:lncRNA from 1 species
CAACGAGAAAAAGAGCGCACUGCAGUUGGAGCAGCAAGUAAAGGAGCUGCAGGAGAAGCUAGACGAGGUGAAGGAGAUGGUAACCUCCACCCCAUCCAAGAAGGGCUGGGAGGCGGGCACCAGCCUCUGGGGAGGGGAGGUGCCAGGCCAAAGGCAGCUCCAGCUGGGAGGCAGGUGACCCCAGCACCCUCCAGUGCAGCUCUAUGACUGUUUCUUGCUUCCUGCCCUCUGACUUUUAGAGGUGGGUAGCCCUGGGCUCCUCCCAGGUCUGGACAUCA